rnacentral:lncRNA from 1 species
CAUAAAUUCAUUGUCAGUUUAUGAAUAAACUGAUUUUCAUGUAAGAAAAGAAAAUGAAUUUAUGCAUAAAUUGAUAAUGAGUGAAGCAGCUUAUUUUCAUCUUAACAGGUUUAUAAAUAAACAAAAAUUGCAGAAUAUAGGGGACCAAGAAUCCACAGGCUAUUCAUCAGCACUAAUUUCAUUCUCUUAAGUGUAUAGUGGUGUUAUUUUUGAGAGGGUUUUAUUGGCCCAUACUUCUUUAAAAUUGAAUAUAGAAUGACUGCAACAAUAACUAAUAAUAAAUAUUGGAUUAUAAUUCAAAAUUUUUUGAGAAUGCUGUUGAGAACAAUCUGGAGAUGUGAUUCCAACAUGAUUGGGCCAGUGCUCACUCUGCUAGAGCCACUAGGGCUCUUUUUAGAUAAAUUUUUAGUGAACAGAUUAUUUUCAGAAAUUCAGAAUUUAAUUUGCCCCAUCUUUACCAGAUCUGGUAACUCUUGUUAUUUCUUUUGGGUUAUUUGAAAAAGAGAAUCUGUGUCAACAAGUUUACAAUGAUCCAAGUUAAAAAGUAAUAUUUGAGCAGAAAUCCUAGCUAUAAGUGCAGAUACUUUGACAAAUGUAAUGGGAAGUUCUUGAAAGAGCCUGAAUUUGUGAAAUUUUAUCAGAAAAUAGUCAGACAUAAUAGAAUAGAACAUAAUUUUUUUACAACCAGUUUAAAAAAUUUCC